ensembl:lncRNA
GAAAAAAUAUAUAUAAAAUUUAGGUGGCACUUCCAAGCAAAAGAAGCAGAAUCCUUGUUUUCACUGAGUAGGACUUGGGAUUUUAUACUCUCUACUCUCAUCAAAGUGGCUCAUGCUGAACGGCAGAAAGGUCAGUUCUGAUUUAGUUGAUAGCACCAAAACUUUGCAGAAGAGAUUAAACAGAACAUGGAUGGAGAAGACUUUGUUCAAAUGGUGGGCACAAGAAGGCUCCAGAAGAGCAUUCUAAUCUACAAGAGGAAGGUAUAUAGUUUUUCAGUUGAUUUAGCAAGAAGAAUCAGCAAAGUUUAGACUGUUUGGGGGAUAGUUGGUUAAAAAUGGUUCUCAAAAGAGAGAGAUUAUUUUUGUACAUUGCUAGCCACUGGUUGGGCAAUUAGAUUAAUCAAGAGGGAUGGGAUGUCAUUGUUAGAGGUUACAAGAGGGGAUGAGGAGAAACAGCUAUGGGGAAGAAGGACCAUGUGAAACUCUCAAUCUUUCAGGGUCUCUUAUAUUCCAAGUACAGCCAUUCACUCACUUGAGAUAUGAAUUUUGUAAUGUGGCUAUUCAGUCUCACAACUCAAGAUUGGAUCAUGUGAUCUCUCAGCCACUUAGCUGUAAAAGGAAGCAUUACUGCUUCCAUUUCCUUUGGCCUUUCUCUCUGUCGUUUUCCAAUGGUACUAGUGUGAGUUUUUCUCUUUGAAUUCACAGCCCUUGAAGAGUUCUGUAAGUCUGGUUUGCCACAGAAUAAAGGCCAUCUUAACUAUCUAAGAUUUAAGACCUUUUCAAUGCAACAUCAUCAUACAAUUGACCAUGGCAGACACCUCUGGACCCCACGUUUACCUCUUGGUCUACCUCUGCUUUUAGCUGCUGCUAUGCUUCCAGGUAAGAUUGGGCCAAUAUCCUGUCAAGAAGCCCCAAAACUAGGGAAAUCCCCCACCAGUCUAAUCACAAGUUACGGAGCAGUUGGAGGAGAUAAAGAAAACUGCAACCUAAGGCAGACCACAGAGGUACCCUUCCUCUUUUCUUCUCAUCCUAUGAAAUUCCAACUGGGCUUUGAUUCACAAAGUUACCCCGUAUUCAAGUACUCCCUGACCCGCAUCAGCUGAGCAAACACUUUAAUUUAUAUUUGAAACACUUAAACAUUUUAUUCCUUGGCAAAUAUUUUUUUAAACAGAUGACACCAGACUGAGAAGUUUGUUUGAUUAGAAAGGGUAAGACUUAGAAGACAUGGUCCAAAUGCAGAGAGCAAAACAAAGAUACUGACAAAUUGCUUUAUUAAGAAAUUAAGAGGAUUUUAGAAGGUUAUAGAUAAACCAAGAAGAGGCGUUCAGAAAAGAAAGAAAAUGUGGCUGCUGUCUGUAAAAAAAAAAAAUAGGACUAUGAAUAUGUCUGAUUGUGGAAUGAGUAAAGAAGUUUUAGGAAUAUGAUGUCUUAUAUUAAGUCAUAAAGCAUUCACAUUGUAGUGAUGUAACCCCACUUCACUCUACCUGAACCUUGAGUCCAGUCAGGCACUUAAAUGAAUGUAAGUGAUUCAAAGAAUGAGGGCUGAAUUUGUUUUUUGUGAUUGUGUUAAAUUUAUAGAUCAAGUCGGGAAGAAUGACGUGUUGGCAAUAUUAAGUCUUUCAAUGAAAUCUUUACAAAUUUUACAUCUUAAAAGAAAAACAUCCAUUUUGUCACCAGCAACUAUGAUGUUAUUUGUACAGGUUUUGUAGAUGUUCUCUGUCAAGUUGAGGAAGUUCUUCUCUUUGCUGAAAAUUUUUAUUGCGAAUUGGUGUUGGAUUUUGUCAGAUGUUUUUUCUGUAUCAAUUGAAAUGUUCAUAUGAUGUUUUUUCUUAAACUUGUUGAUAUCAUAGAUUAAUUUGAUUGAUUUAGAAUGUUGAGUCAGCCUUGCAUAUCUAGAUAAAUCCCACUUGGCAAUGAUGUAUAAUUCUUUCUAUACAUUUUUGCAUUUUAUUUGCUAAUAUUUUGUUGAGGAUUUUUGCAUGUAUUUUCAUCAGAGGUAUUGAUCUAUCUUUAUUGUAAUGUCUUUAUCUGGUUUUGGUAUCAGAGAAAUGUUGAUUUAAUACAGUGAGUUAGGAAGUGUUUCAUCUGCUUGUAUUUUCUGGAAGAGAUUGUUUGGGAUAUUUGGUAAUUUAUUGGGAUAUUUGGUAAAACUCCCCAGUGAAACUAUUGGGGCCUAGUGUUUCCUUGAGGAUUUUUAAUUACUGAUUCAGUUUAUUUAGCAGAUGUAAAUCUGUCACAUAUGCUGAUAAGAUAGAGAUUUAAGACUAUAUCUCCUUGUGUGGGUUUUCGCAGUUUGUGUCUUUCAAAGAAUUGAUUCAUUUCAUCUCAGUUUUCUAAUUUGUAGCUAGUUGUACAUGGAAUUCCUUUAUUACCCUUUUAAUAUGUAUGGUAUUAGUAUUUCUGCUAUUGGUAAUUUGUGUUUUUUAUUUUCUUGGUUCACUUAACUGAAAUUCUACCAUUUUUAUUGAUCUCUUCACAGAGUCAGCUUUUGCUUCAUUGAUUUUUCUAUGUUGAUUUCCUGUUUUAAAUAUCAUUGAUUUCUGCUCUAGCUUUUAUUAUUUCUUUCCUCUUUUCUUCUUUUUUUUCUUGCCUUAUGUUUAAGGCUUUUUUUUUUUUUUUUUCAGUUUCCUAAAGGGGAAGUUUAGAUAGUUGAUUCCACAUCUUCUUUCUUUUGUAAUAUUUGUAUUUAGUGAUAUAAAAUGUCUCUACUGCUUUCACUACAUUCUACAAAUUUGCAAAUUUGUAUAUUAUAUUUUCAUUUUCAUUUAGUUCAAACUAUUUAAAUUUUCUCAAAACUUCUUUAUGUACUAUGUAGAAC